UGGGAGAUAGCUCAAUGGUAGAGCACCUGACUGUUAAUCAGGUGGUUGCAGGUUCGAGUCCCGCUCUCCCAGCCA
rnacentral:tRNA from 1 species